GACGAACGCUGGCGGCGUGCCUAAUACAUGCAAGUCGAGCGAAGUUUUUCUGGUGCUUGCACUAGCAAAACUUAGCGGCGAACGGGUGAGUAACACGUAAAGAACCUGCCUCAUAGACUGGGACAACUAUUGGAAACGAUAGCUACUACCGGAUAACAGUAUUUCUCGCAUGAGAGAUAUUUAAAAGUUGGUUAUGCUAACACUAUGAGAUGGCUUUGCGGUGCAUUAGCUAGUUGGUGGGGUAAAGGCCCACCAAGGCGACGAUGCAUAGCCGACCUGAGAGGGUGAUCGGCCACACUGGGACUGAGACACGGCCCAGACUCCUACGGGAGGCAGCAGUAGGGAAUCUUCCGCAAUGGGCGAAAGCCUGACGGAGCAACGCCGCGUGAGUGAAGAAGGAUUUCGGUUCGUAAAGCUCUGUUGUUAGGGAAGAAUGGAUAUGUAGUAACUAUACAUGUAAGAGACGGUACCUAACCAGAAAGCCACGGCUAACUACGUG
rnacentral:rRNA from 1 species